GUCUACGGCCAUACCACCUUGAACACGCCCGAUCUCGUCUGAUCUCGAAAGCUAAGCUGGGUCGGACCUGGUUAGUACUGGAUGGGAGAAAGAAAGAGAUAGAGAGACAUCUGCAGCCC
ensembl:rRNA 5S_rRNA 5S ribosomal RNA